AGUGAACGCUGGCGGUAGGCCUAACACAUGCAAGUCGAACGGCAGCACAGUAAGAGCUUGCUCUUACGGGUGGCGAGUGGCGGACGGGUGAGGAAUACAUCGGAAUCUACUUUUUCGUGGGGGAUAACGUAGGGAAACUUACGCUAAUACCGCAUACGACCUACGGGUGAAAGCAGGGGAUCUUCGGACCUUGCGCGAUUGAAUGAGCCGAUGUCGGAUUAGCUAGUUGGCGGGGUAAAGGCCCACCAAGGCGACGAUCCGUAGCUGGUCUGAGAGGAUGAUCAGCCACACUGGAACUGAGACACGGUCAAGACUCCUACGGGAGGCAGCAGGGGGGAAUAUUGGACAAUGGGCGAAAGCCUGAUCCAGCCAUACCGCGUGGGUGAAGAAGGCCUUCGGGUUGUAAAGCCCUUUUGUUGGGAAAGAAAAGCAGCAGGUUAAUACCCCGCUGUUCUGACGGUACCCAAAGAAUAAGCACCGGCUAACUUC
rnacentral:rRNA from 1 species